AUUGAACGCUGGCGGCAUGCUUUACACAUGCAAGUCGAACGGUAACAGGGAGCUUGCUCCGCUGACGAGUGGCGAACGGGUGGGUAAUGCGUCGGAACGUGCCGAGUAGUGGGGGAUAACGCAGCGAAAGUUGUGCUAAUACCUCAUACGUACUGAGGUAGAAAGUGGGGGACCUUCGGGCCUCACGCUAUUCGAGCGGCCGACGUCUGAUUAGCUAGUAGGUGAGGUAAAGGCUUACCUAGGCGACGAUCAGUAGCGGGUCUGAGAGGAUGAUCCGCCACACUGGGACUGAGACACGGCCCAGACUCCUACGGGAGGCAGCAGUGGGGAAUUUUGGACAAUGGGCGAAAGCCUGAUCCAGCCAUGCCGCGUGUCUGAAGAAGGCCUUCGGGUUGUAAAGGACUUUUGUCGGGGAGGAAAUCCCCAGCGCUAAUACCGCUGGGGGAUGACAGUACCUGAAGAAUAAGCACCGGCUAACUACGUGCCAGCAGCCGCCGUAAUAC
rnacentral:rRNA from 1 species